rnacentral:ribozyme from 1 species
AAAGGAAUGAAAGAAAGAAAGAAAAGAAAAAAAAAAGGCAACAGUCUCCCUAGCACCCCUUUGCAAGGCAGGAAUAAGACUCGAAGCAAUAAAACUCCCUUCAUGAUACUUUUUCUUUUUCUUUUUCUUUUUCUCCCCUUCCUUUCUCUUGUU